rnacentral:rRNA from 1 species
CAUCGAUGAAGAACGCAGCGAAAUGCGAUAAGUAAUGUGAAUUGCAGAAUUCAGUGAAUCAUCGAAUCUUUGAACGCACCUUGCACCCUUUGGAAUUCCAAAGGGUAUGCUCGUUUGAGUGUCAUUGUACUCUCACACUCUCCGAUCCUUUGGAUUUGGGGGGCGGUGGACUUGGGUGUUUGCUGCUUUCCUUGUGGCUCACCUGAAAUGUGUUAGUGUACCUCUUGGUUGGACAUAGUACGGCGUGAUAAGUGUCUUCGCCGGCACCUCAUUAGAGGGUGGCCAAUUGGGGGCUCUGUGCUUUCAAACUGUCUUUGGACAAUGUCUGACAACUUGACCUCAAAUCGAGUAGGACUACCCGCUGAACUUAAGCAUAUCAAUAAGCGGAGGAAAAGAAACU